rnacentral:misc_RNA from 1 species
AGACAAUGGAGUCUGGGCAGAGAGUCGUCGUUUCAUAUUUUUCCUUCUCUCCAUCUCAAGUGAAACGAAUGCUUUCUCCACAGAUACCCGAUCCCUUCAAGUCCAAAUAGAAGAAGAAACUAGUAUGACGAACCGAAGAUUAGAGAUGCUACCAACUUCUUCCAAGCUCCGUACAUCUUCCUCCACAUCUCGACCUGGUUCCAUGCUUCCUCAGUACCUCCGGCGAAUUGUCAAGUGGCAACAAAUGGAUAUUGAAUAUACUUUCUGGCAAAUGCUGCAUCUUUGCACCUCACCAAAAGUUGUCUAUCAGCACACUAAGUAUCACAAACGUAAGUCCAUUACCCUACUGAUGAGCCUUUUCUUUUGAAUUUCAAUUUUAUUGGCUACAUUACGUAUUGUUUGGAUAUUAUUUUUCAGAAAAGCUUAAUAGUCUUUUUGUAGGGCUUUGCCAUCAUGAUUCAAUUUACUAAGUUACCGAUCAUAAGAGUAUACUGUUGAUGUUGUGUUAGGUAAGGAAAGUGGAUAUUUUUACCCUGGAGCUUUCUGAUGCAGUAACCUCAAAUAUUUUAGCCAUUGAUAUUUAUUUUAAUUAUGUAAACAGUUGUUAUAUAUAAAGGUUCCCCCUCCCUCUGUUUUUUAUAUAUGUGUAUACACAGUUUAGCUGUUGCAGCAAAUGUUAUGUCCAUCUAUUGUAUUGAAAUAUAUUGUUUUUGCCUCAAGCGUAAAUAAUAUGCUUCAUUUUGAUGUGACUUUUCUAGACAUUUAUUAUAUGAGUUGCUUUGUUGUGUGAAGGCAUGGUACAUAGCAUGCAACGUGCUGAUGUUUCCAGUGAAAUCUUUUCUUGCUGAUAACUGAGAUACUUAAUGAUAGUCGCUGGAAAAGAGCAUUUAUUGUCAAUUGUGUGAUAUGUUCAGUUACUUUUUAGCUCUAUUUAUUUUUAUAUUUUCCCCGAUAAGUUGCAUGUGUCAUAAGGCAAAGUAGGAUCAAUAAAAGUAACCAGUCCUUGGUUUUUUCCCCUAAACUAUAUGUGGUUUUCCAAUAUAGUUAUGAGUCGUUGAGUUCUAACUUUUCCUGCACUGAAGUAGUGUGGGUUUUCAGAUUACAAGUCACAUAAGCCAGUUUGAUUAUGUUUUAGGAAAAAAUUUUAGGGAAGAGUUAGUGAGAUAUCUAUAAGCGUCCUUAUGGUGAUUUUAAAUUUCAUUUGUGUUAAUAUGUUUGACAAAUCACAAGCAUGUUGCAAUAGUGUUAAUGCCAGUAGGAACUGCUUAUAUAAUAAAUGCAUAUGGAGGAAGAUAAAAUUCAUUUACCGUGUGAGUUUAUGCUGUUGUUGACUGGGUUUUCUUGUGGGUUUUGGGAAACCUUGCUGUUAAGAAGUAUGAUGAAAUUUGAAAGGUUGUCUUUUUUCUUUUGGUGUCAGAAACUAAGAAUCAAUGGGCACGUGAUGACCCAGCUUUUGUUGUAAUCUGCAGUCUACUUUUGGCAAUUUCCACUUUGGCUUAUUGUGCUGCGUAAGUUCCUUGUAUACUUCCUGCCUGUGGUUGCUUUUGCUACUUAGAUAGUUGUACUGACCGUUAUUGUGAUGCUGGUAAUCAAUAAGUAAUGCUUCAAGUUGUCUCCUGUUCCAUGAGAAAUCCUUUCAGGAACUCUUUACUUGGGGUUAUAUUCAAUGUUGAACUUGCAAUUGUUAAAAUGUACAUGCAUGACUACCCAAUGCUACACUUCGGAGUUUGGACAUCUAGCUUCCUUCAAGUUGAGCAAUGGUGCUCCUUAUUUACUUAUAUUUAUUUAUUAUGAUGAUGGGGAACCUUCCCACAGAGCAUCCUCUUGGAAUUUGCUUUGUUAUUUGAGUAAACCCGUGGAUGCAGAUCCCUUGUCUUCUUACCAGUUGCUGGUAAUUGGUGGAUUCAAAUUGAAGAUUUGAAACCUUUGUUGACAGCUUUGGGAGUGCAGCCAGUGAGUCUAGCAUUGCAUGGCUGAGGCAAUGCUUCAUUUUCUCAUGUGUAACUUCCUAAUUAAGUAGUGCGACGUUGGCAUGGGCUAAAGUAUUUUUUAUGGGAUUCUCUAUGUUCUGUUUCACUGUUUGAUUGUUCUUCUUCUUCUUCUUGUUCUUCAACCGUGAAGUGCUUUUCAUAAGAUGGAGAAGCUCAAUUUUGUCAAGAAUGGUGUGCUUAGACUGCCUCCUGGAUUUAGAUUCCACCCAACAGAUGAGGAGCUUGUUGUUCAGUACUUGAAGAGAAAGGUUUAUGCUUGCCCCCUUCCUGCUUCUAUAAUCCCUGAAGUUGAUGUCUGCAAGUCUGAUCCUUGGGAUUUGCCAGGUUAGUUGCAUACAUAGACAAACUAUGUAACUUCGAAUGAUUAGUUUAAUUGUGCCUUUGUAAUUGUGGGCUGCUGGAUUCUACAUAGAAACCAAACUACAAUGCCAUGUGCCCACUACAUACAACACUUAAUAUGCAACACACCUCUUUUAUUUAGCUUGUUCUGAGACACGAGUGUUUCUGGGCUUUAGGUGAUUUGGAGCAAGAGAGGUACUUUUUCAGCACCAGGGAAGCCAAGUAUCCCAAUGGUAACCGAUCCAACAGAGCCACAAGUUCUGGUUACUGGAAGGCAACUGGUAUUGACAAGGAAAUUGCAACUUCUAAGGGUAACCA